ACUUAAGUCUUAACUAUCAGUAGGAAUAUGUAUAAUCAUAUGCUGUUCAGCGAGUUGAACCUGCAGAUCUAUUGUUCUGGAGUACAGGCUAACAAAACAAUGCUCAUUUGAAGUGCUAAUUGACUGUGUUGUCUGUUUUUUUUUUUCUUGUUCUGUCAAGAUUGCUGGGACCUUGUUUAGUGUUAAAGCUACAGGUGACAUAGACCCUGUCUGCCUCAGAGGAUAAAGCUACAGGUGACAUAGACCCUGUCUGCCUUAGAGGAUAAAGCUACAGGUGACAUAGACCCUGUCUGCCUUAGAGGAUAAAGCUACAGGUGACAUAGACCCUGUCUGCCUUAGAGGAUAAAGCUACAGGUGACAUAGACCCUGUCUGCCUCAGAGGAUAAAGCUACAGGUGACAUAGACCCUGUCUGCCUUAGAGGAUAAAGCUACAGUCAUGUCUUUAGUUGUUUGCCUGUUCUUUCUAUUGAAGACCCUACUAGGGUUAUGUGCAAUGACAAUGUUUUGUAAAUGUGUUAUAUUUAACCUUUUUAAAGUUGUAGAAUGACAAGCUUGUAUUUUUCUCUAUAUUUAUAAAUACUACAGUACUACCCUUGAGCAGGUUCAUACAUGCGAUGGUUGUCUGUUGGCACACAAGGAUCGGGGCGUGUAAUGAGGAGCACCUCUGAGUAGGACUGCUGGAUCUCGGAUCAAGUCUCGCUGGUCCAUAUAAUAUUCAUUGUACUCUAAAACUGACCCUAGAUCAGUAAUCCUACUCUGAAACGCUGUAAGAAUACAGGCCCUUGUAUUGGAAGUGUCUAAAUUGUCGUAGGUCUUACUUUCUACGGUUUUGUACAUUAACUCCAAGUUGUGGUAAUAAAAUAAAUAUUGGAUAACAGAAGGA